rnacentral:lncRNA from 1 species
AGUAAAUGACCAGAUAACUGGAUAUAUUGAUAAACAAGUAAAUGACCAGAUAACUGGAUAUAUUGACAAACAAGUAAGUGACCAGAUAACUGGAUAAGUUGAUAAACAAGUAAGUGACCAGAUAACUGGAUAAAUAUGAUAAGUAAUACUUGAACAAAUAUAAGAAUUUAAAGCAAUGAAUAUAACCUCAGAUAGUUGACCAGAUAACUGGAUGAGGGAUCUGCGUAAAGUAGUCAACCUCUGUGUUUGACCAGAUAACUGGAAGAGGGAUCUUUUUAAUUAAGUGUUGUUUUUAAGUAAAAAAUAGAACUAUAAUUAACAGAGAACAACACAAGAGAUUUAUACUGGUUCACCCAAACAAGGGCUAGUCCAGUCCCGACCAACUGCCGGAAU